AAUUAGUAAACUAAUAACUUAUUUAAGAGGUUACAAUAAAUUCUUGUUUCAAAAGAAUAAUUUACUUCUUUCAGCUUUGAUGUUAAAGGGACAAAAAUGUAUGAGUCACGGGUGGCAAGAAUUAAUCUUUGUUGAGUUGAGGUGUCUCAGGCACUGUGCUUGCAACACAUUCAUUGAAUUGUCAACAAACGAGUAUUUUCAGAAGGAUCAUUUUUUCCUCCUCCUAAGGACACAUACUACAAAAUGAAAAGCAGCAAAGGAAAAUAACCAGAAGAAAAAUACACUGGAGCCUUAGAAAGUGGGCUAACCAAGCAAGUCACAUGCCAAAGCAGUGGUUCAAAGCGCAUUUCAGCUUUAAUCACUUACUCUGUAUGAAAAACUAAUUAAAUAUUCUCUAUAAUUUUAAAUUAAAUGUACCAACACAUUGGUAACUAUCAUGUACUGGGAAUGUAUUCCUUUCCGUCACUCCACUUGGUUGCUUUUAUUUUGCCCACAGAAUGUUGAGGAAAAUACUGAAUAAAUACACAUUUUAUUAAAACAUACACAAACAACUCUGUCACAAAUUGAUAUAAAUGGUUAGGUAUACCUCCCAUCCCAAUUUUGGCUUAUAUAACCUUGAAUCAAAAAAAACCCAAAAACAAACACACACAGGUGUAGGCCACCAAAAACCUAUGGAUAAAGAUGGCAGAUUAAGUACUGAAGCUCAGAAUCAGACAGGAAAUAGCUAUAAACCAAAAUAGAAAGCAAAAUAAUGAAGAAAAGUGACAACUCAUGUUGAAGCCUGGGUAAAUUUUAACAGGCUCAAGCCUGAGAAAAGAAUUUUCCUAAAAUGUUGGUUCUUAAGGGGACAUUCCUAGGUUCAACUGAACACAAAAGAGAAGGGAAUUUCCCUAAAGAAGUUUUCUGAGCCAGAAGAAAAUCAAAUUAUGCUUGAAAAACAAAAGCAAAGACUAAUAAUGCCUGUCUCCCCCCUCCCCCCCAUUCACUUCAGUGUAGGUUUUCCUGCUGGAGGCCAUUUAUUAACUCCAUACUCUUGUUUUCUCAACACGACCAAACCUAGUCUUAACCUUCUGCGUCUCAGAGGGUUGAUAAAUGAGAUAAUUAUUUUCAGUCCUCUCAUGAGCUGGGAAACUACGAUCUGGAUGUACCCAAACAUACGCAGACAUAGAUAUACUAAGCCUCAGAUUAAAGAAACAGUAACUGAUUGCCAAAAGGAUAUUAUUUAUGGCCACUAUUAAAAAUGAUUUCUUAUAUAUAAUUUUGAGAAAGUAUCAAGAGAGGCACUGUGAUUUAAACAAAACUGAAAACCAUUUCUCACAAUAUUUCAUGUACCGAAAGUUUUGUGCAAAAAACUUGUAAACUAGAAUAAUGCUGGUCUCGAGUUCUUAAAAAAAGGUUUUAAAAAAGCUAAGCAUAAGUUUAUAAUUGGGUAUUUGUGAUUUUGAAAAAAAAAAAAGGGCAAAGCUAAUAAAACGCUGCUAGAAAACAAAGUGAUAAAGAUUUUUCAACUGCAUGCAUUUCUAGUUCUUUGCCAGAUUCUUAGGCUACAAAAAUUUGUAAAAGUUGAUGUAAAGUAAAUACGUGAUGGUUAUAUUGAAGGGUUUUCAGAACUGGAGACACUAAGAUAUAUUUAUUUAGUUGGAAGAGGAAGUGGCAAUAAGAGCGUUUCAAUUAUAAUGACCAUUUUAGAGUUCAUGAGAAACGAUCAUUCAUAAUUUAAACACAUCGGAGCCAGUGCCCCCUCUUAAGAUGUCCAGUAGGUAUAUGCAUUGUGCAUGCUAAAUCGCUGCAGUUACAUCCAACUCUGUGCAACCCUAUGGACUGCAGCUCGCCAGGCUCCUCUUUCCACGGGAUUCUCCAGUCAAGAAUACUGGAAUGGGAUGCCAUACCCUCCUCCUAGUAGGUACAACAGCAAGUAAGUCUUUGGGAGCCAGAGGACGUCGGCUCUGCAAAUACAACCAACUAAAUACAACCAUCUUUCUAUGUUGUAGCAGGUAACGAGGACUAUUUAAAACAGUAGCUUUAAGAGAGCUUAUUUUUGAAAACUUGGAGUGAAACCCUUCUCAAAAAAUGUGCUGUUAGGGUUUUCCUUUUAUGUAAUGAAAGAACAAUAAAAGGCAGGUGGAAUUAUACUCGGGGUAAAAAAUAGAAAUUACAUUUCUCAAGCAGAAUUGCUAGGAUGGAGUGAAGGAAAAUGAUAAUAACCAUUCCUAUCUGAGGUGGUAUCUAUUUUAAUGUACUUAAAAUGCAUGACUGUGACUGAGUGCUUAAAGAAAGAAAUGCAGAGGAAAGUGAGAGUUAACAUAUGUGCCUGACAUUUUGCUUUCUAUUCUCAAGGGUGUAUUUUUAACCCUGGGACAGAGUAUCCCAAAUCUUUAUUCUACCAUAAACUAAUCUCUGUUUCUUGUCCUCUUCUCUCUUCUCCAAGUCACUCUACAGAGUCUGAUGGUAACAAUUCGGUACCCCUUCAUUCAUUCUUGUGGUACCGUUGCAAAGAGUUCAAAAUCCACACACUUUAUGUCAACAUACCAAGAAACCAAGAUGUCAAGACAACAGAUUCGGCUGAGCGAUGGCACCUGAAAGACUGUGGUGAAGAUGAAGACCAUUUCAUGCCACACAGUCCCCUGUCUACUCUGAGUUCAGACACUGUGACAAACAAAAACACAGCUGAUGCUGACAGAACAUGACCCUAUGUGAUGCGGCCAGCGAACUUAUGCUCUGGAACAGCAGCUCUUGAGGUAGAAGAUCGACUCCUCACUAAGUAUGUGAAUAGUAUCUAAGUUAAUAAUGGUUCAAUAUCAAAGUUUAAAAACUGCACAAAGAUGCUGUGAAAGUCCUGUAUGUAUACUUCUGUAAGAAGCUAAGUAAAGUCAAUCACAAGAAGGUUUGGAAUGAGAUUGUUUUCCUUAUGGAUUUUUAAAAUAUGUAUUUCUUUAAGAUUUUUAUAUAUUCUAUGCAUUGAUCUUCCAUUUCCUUGCAACACUUGUGGUUCAAAUCAAGGAAGGAAAAUUGAAUCUUAAAAACUGUGGGUCCUUCCUUUGCUUGCAUCCAGUCCUCACAUAGAGACGCAGGAGGCCAGUCUNNNNNNNNNNNNNNNNGGGCAAGGGGCCUGGGAGAGGACCUGUGCUGGGGGGGUCCCAGGUGAGGAGACACUGGGAAGGAGGGCAUCUAACAGACUCCUGGAGUAGCCAUUUGGUCUUAGAGAUCGCUGGACUCAGGAGGUUAAAUAUCUGUAGAAACAGAAUUUUUAGGGUUCCUUCUAGACAAUCCAGUUCUGUAAAUAGGUAAUUCAUUCUAUGUCUUAAAAAUACUGGUUUUGAACAAACCAGGUAUGGUUAUAGUACAUGCUACAUCUUCAGGCGGUCAGAACACCAACUGGCCUGUUCUAGAGGUGGCGGUCUUUCUUCGAUUAGCAGUAGCAAGUCCCGUGAGCUUAUCCUCGAGGUGGGCAGCUAGGAGAAGCUCG
ensembl:lncRNA